rnacentral:rRNA from 1 species
GCAGCAGUGGGGAAUGUUGCACAAUGGGCGCAAGCGUGAUGGCGGCAGGCCGGGUGGAUGAAGAAGGUGUUUGGGGUGUGAAGUGCUUUGGGCGGGGAGGAGGAGAGUAAAGUUAAUUCCUUUGCACAUUGACGUUAACCGCAGAAGAAGCGCCGGCUAACUCCAUGCCAGCAGCAGCGGUAAUACGGGGGGUGCAAGCGUUAAUCGGGAUUACUGGGCGUGAAGAGCGCGCAGGCGGUUUGUUAAGUC